rnacentral:rRNA from 1 species
UGAGGAAUAUUGCACAAUGGGGGAAACCCUGAUGCAGCGACGCCGCGUGAAGGACGAAGUAUUUCGGUACGUAAAGCUCUAUCAGCAGGGAAGAAAAUGACGGUACCUGACUAAGAAGCCCCGGCUAACUACGUG